UUGGAGGGCAAGUCUGGUGCCAGCAGCCGCGGUAAUUCCAGCUCCAAUAGCGUAUAUUAAAGUUGUUGCAGUUAAAAAGCUCGUAGUUGAAUUUCGAGAUCAAAUUGUUGGUCGUGCCUUGGUACGCACUGGCAUUAUUGAUUUCCCCCUUCUGACGAACCAUGAUGUCAUUAAUUUGGUGUCUUGGGGAAUCAGGACUGUUACUUUGAAAAAAUUAGAGUGUUUAAAGCAGGCUCACGCUUGAAUACAUUAGCAUGGAAUAACGAAAUAGGACGUUUGAUUCUAUUUUGUUGGUUUCUAGGAUCGACGUAAUGAUUAAUAGGGAUAGUUGGGGGCAUUAGUAUUCAAUUGUCAGAGGUGAAAUUCUUGGAUUUAUUGAAGACUAGCUACUGCGAAAGCAUUUGCCAAGGAUGUUUUCAUUAAUCAAGAACGAAAGUUAGGGGAUCGAAGACGAUCAGAUACCGUCGUAGUCUUAACCAUAAACUAUGCCGACUAGGGAUCGUAUGAUGUUAAUUUUUUAAUGACUCAUUCGGCGCCUUACGGGAAACCAAAGUGUUUGGGUUC
rnacentral:rRNA from 1 species